rnacentral:rRNA from 1 species
UACAGAGGGUGCGAGCGUUAAUCGGAGUUACUGGGCGUAAAGGGCGCGUAGGCGGUCUUACAAGUGAGAUGUGAAAUCCCCGGGCUUAACCUGGGAACUGCAUCUUAAACUGUGAGGCUGGAGUACUGUAGAGGACAGUGGAAUUUCCGGUGUAGCGGUGAAAUGCGUAGAGAUCGGAAGGAACACCCGUGGCGAAGGCGACUGUCUGGACAGAUACUGACGCUGAGGCGCGAGAGCGUGGGGAGCAAACAGG